rnacentral:rRNA from 1 species
CCUACGGGUGGCAGCAGUGAGGAAUUUUGCGCAAUGGGGGAAACCCUGACGCAGCAACGCCGCGUGGGUGAAGAAGGCUUUCGGGUCGUAAAGCCCUGUCAGGUGGGAAGAAACUCUUCAGCACUAAUAAUGCUGAAGCCUGACGGUACCACCAGAGGAAGCACCGGCCAACUCCGUGCCAGCAGCCGCGGUAAUACGGAGGGUGCAAGCGUUGUUCGGAAUUAUUGGGCGUAAAGAGCGUGUAGGCGGUUCGGUAAGUCAGAUGUGAAAGCCCUGGGCUCAACCCAGGAAGUGCAUUUGAAACUACUAGACUUGAGUACGGGAGAGGAGGGGGGAAUUCCCGGUGUAGAGGUGAAAUUCGUAGAUAUCGGGAGGAAUACCAGUGGCGAAGGCGCCCCUCUGGACCGAUACUGACGCUGAGACGCGAAAGCGUGGGGAGC